GACUCAAGUUAUUACGUUUAGAUGAUAAUUAAUUAAACGUUAAAGUAAUCGACAUUUUUAAACUAACAGCACUAGUUCAAAUCCAAAAAAUCUUCCGCGACAAUAAGUCGCGCGUUUCUCAGUGCGCAUGCGAUCUACGUUGGAAACAGAUCAAAGAAACUUGUCGUUUCUCUACAAAAAUAGUUGACGUAAAUUAUAAAUUUAAUUGUCAACCCUAAAAAAUUAAUUUAUUAUAAUUUAAUUCAUAAACUAGUUUGUGUGUCCAUCAAAUUGCCAGUGGAAAUAUUAAAAUGAGCAACAAUGGCCGCAGAUCUGUCAUCAAUCUAACCUAAAGUUCAUUUGUCAAUAAAAAUAAAUUGAAUAUAUCAAGAAUAAGACACGAAUUCGUAAAAAAAAAAACAAUUCAGUCGAUCUAUAGAUAUUUUUAAUAGUCACUCGUUGAUUCGUCCAUUGCCUACUAAAUCAAAAGAAUUUUUUUUACCUUAACUUCAGUAAGAGGAUAUCGGCGAAUUGAUUGAAGCAGCUGAAAUUUCAUUCUGAUAUCAAUAAAAAAAAAACGAUUGUGAAGCUUCUUUACUUGGGGCAGUGAUAAAAACUGAGUUCUUCUAAAGUUUUUGUCAAAAAAAUGUAUCAUAGAUCAAGAAUACAUGCAACUGCAAUUUAAAAAGCGAAAUUUUAUUCCUGCGGAAUUGAUUUUGAAUUUAUUUUUUCAAGACUCAAUAAAUCUCUUUGUAUGAAAUCACAGUAUCAAAAAUCUUUUAUUAUUCCUUGAUUAUUAUUUGUUAUUAAGAUUAUUUCAUCAUUAAGUGAAGCCAAGGGCAUCAACUGAUAAAUCACAUGUUUUCGUAUGCUUCUGGAAAUAAAAAUUUAUUUCAAGAUACGCGCGGCUCAUUCUUGCGGAAAAUUUGUUACAUUUUAACAGAAAUUUCGAUUUAAGAAAAUAAAAGUAACGCAAAUGACUCGAAUUUACUUUUUAAAAGACAAUUUAUUACGAAU